AGCUGUGGCGAUGGGUAGCUAGGAGGCGUGGGGCUCUCUGCCUGCUGUAGCCGUCUGCCGCGCCCUUGUUCCUGCAGCUGGAGGAGGAAACAGAGGUUCAGUGAAUUGCCUAGGUCACACAGGGAAUUGGUGGAAGAGCCAAGUCUAAUGCCCAGAUUUCCAAACUGGGAGUCUUAACCCUUCAUCAGUGCUACCUGUGCCACAUGGGAGAAGAUGGGCCACCUCCAUUCAUUUUCUCUGGGAACUGCAGGAACCACAAUGAGGUUGCAGAAUGUGUUAACAGUGAAAGCCCUCACAGGACUCAGGUCCAGUUAUCUUUUGACUGCCACAUAUGGACCCCAAAAGAUCUCAAAAGGAAACUGUCCUCAUUACAGGAGGAAGUGGCUAUUUUGGUUUUCGCCUGGGCUGUGCCCUGAACCAAAAGGGAGUCCAUGUGAUUCUGUUUGACAUCAGCAGCCCUGCUCAAACCAUUCCAGAAGGAAUCAAGUUUAUACAAGGAGACAUCCGCCACCUGUCUGAUGUAGAGAAAGCCUUCCAGGAUGCAGACGUCACUUGUGUGUUCCAUAUUGCCUCUUAUGGUAUGUCAGGGCGGGAGCAACUCAAUCGAAACCUGAUCGAAGAAGUCAACGUCAGGGGCACAGACAACAUCCUCCAGGUUUGCCAAAGGAGAAGUGUGCCCAGGUUAGUUUACACCAGCACUUUCAAUGUCAUCUUUGGAGGUCAAGUUAUCAGAAAUGGGGAUGAAUCUCUGCCCUACCUGCCUCUUCACCUCCACCCUGAUCACUACUCUCGGACAAAGUCAAUUGCAGAGCAGAAGGUGCUGGAGGCGAAUGCUACACCCCUGGACAGAGGCGAUGGUGUCUUAAGAA
rnacentral:sRNA from 1 species